rnacentral:rRNA from 1 species
UACAGAGACUGCAAGCGUUAUUCGGAUUCAUUGGGCGUAAAGGGUGUGUAGGUGGCGCCGUAAGUCGGGUGUGAAAUUUCGGAGCUUAACUCCGAAACUGCAUUCGAUACUGCGGUGCUUGAGGACUGGAGAGGAGACUGGAAUUCAUGGUGUAGCAGUGAAAUGCGUAGAGAUCAUGAGGAAGACCAGUGGCGAAGGCGGGUCUCUGGACAGUUCCUGACACUGAGACACGAAGGCCAGGGGAGCAAACGGG